AACAGGAUUAGAUACCCUGGUAGUCCACGCCGUAAACGGUGGGUGCUAGGUGUGAGCGGUAUUCCACGCCGUUCGUGCCGCAGCUAACGCAUUAAGCACCCCGCCUGGGGAGUACGGCCGCAAGGCUAAAACUCAAAGGAAUUGACGGGGGCCCGCACAAGCAGCGGAGCAUGUGGCUUAAUUCGACGCAACGCGAAGAACCUUACCAAGGCUUGACAUGCAGGGAAAUCCUCCAGAGAUGGGGGGUCCGCAAGGGUCCUGCACAGGUGGUGCAUGGUUGUCGUCAGCUCGUGUCGUGAGAUGUUGGGUUAAGUCCCGCAACGAGCGCAACCCUCGUUCUAUGUUGCCAGCGCGUGAUGGCGGGGACUCAUAGGAGACUGCCGGGGUCAACUCGGAGGAAGGUGGGGAUGACGUCAAAUCAUCAUGCCCCUUAUGUCUUGGGCUGCACACAUGCUACAAUGGCCGGUACAAAGGGCUGCUAAACCGUGAGGUGGAGCGAAUCCCAAAAAGCCGGUCUCAGUUCGGAUUGGGGUCUGCAACUCGACCCCAUGAAGUCGGAGUUGCUAGUAAUCGCAGAUCAGCAACGCUGCGGUGAAUACGUUCCCGGGCCUUGUACACACCGCCCGUCACGUCACGAAAGUCGGUAACACCCGAAGCCAGUGGCCCAACCCGCAAGGGGGGGAGCUGUCGAAGGUGGGAUCGGCGAUUGGGACGAAGUCGUAACAAGGUAACC
rnacentral:rRNA from 1 species